AUUGAACGCUGGCGGCAUGCUUUACACAUGCAAGUCGGACGAGUGGCGAACGGGUGAGUAACGCAUCGGAACGUACCGAGUAAUGGGGGAUAACUGUCCGAAAGGACAGCUAAUACCGCAUAUUAUUCGAGCGGCCGAUGUCUGAUUAGCUGGUUGGCGGGGUAAAGGCCCACAAGGGCGACGAUCAGUAGCGGGUCUGAGAGGAUGAUCCGCCACAGUGGGCCAGUGACACGUCCCAGACGCCUACGGGAGGCAGCAGUGGUGAAUUGUGGACAAGGGGCUGAAGCCUGAUCCAGCCAUGCCGCUUGGCUGAAGAAGGCCUUCGGGUUGUAAAGGACGUUUGUCAGGGAAGCGGUACCUGAAGAAUAAGCACCGGCUAACUACGUGCCAGCAGCCGCGGGAAUUC
rnacentral:rRNA from 1 species